rnacentral:rRNA from 1 species
UGGGGAAUUUUGGACAAUGGGGGAAACCCUGAUCCAGCCAUCCCGCGUGUGCGAUGAAGGCCUUCGGGUUGUAAAGCACUUUUGGCAGGAAAGAAACGUCGCGGGUUAAUACCCCGCGAAACUGACGGUACCUGCAGAAUAAGCACCGGCUAACUACGUGCCAGCAGCCGCGGUAAUACGUAGGGUGCAAGCGUUAAUCGGAAUUACUGGGCGUAAAGCGUGCGCAGGCGGUUCGGAAAGAAAGAUGUGAAAUCCCAGAGCUUAACUUUGGAACUGCAUUUUUAACUACCGGGCUAGAGUGUGUCAGAGGGAGGUGGAAUUCCGCGUGUAGCAGUGAAAUGCGUAGAUAUGCGGAGGAACACCGAUGGCGAAGGCAGCCUCCUGGGAUAACACUGACGCUCAUGCACGAAAGCGUGGGGAGCAAACAGGAUUAGAUACCCUGGUAGUCCACGCCCUAAAACGAUGUCAAACUAGCUGUUGGGGGCCUUCGGGCCUUGGUAGCGCAGCUAACGCGUGAAGUUGACCGCCUGGGGAGUACGGUCGCAAGAUU